CCCCUUGUAGCAUAAAAGGAUAAUGUUCCUUUCUAACGAAGAGGACGAUGUGGGUUCGAAUCCCACCAAGGGGG
rnacentral:tRNA from 1 species